rnacentral:rRNA from 1 species
CACUAUCGUUAACUGAAUACAUAGGUUAACGAGGCGAACCGGGGGAACUGAAACAUCUAAGUACCCCGAGGAAAAGAAAUCAACCGAGAUUCCCCCAGUAGCGGCGAGCGAACGGGGAGCAGCCCGGAGUCUGAAUCAGCUUGUGUGUUAGUGGAACGGUCUGGAAAGUCCGACGGUACAGGGUGAUAGUCCCGUACACGAAAAUGCACAUGCUGUGAACUCGAAGAGUAGGGCGGGACACGUGGUAUCCUGUCUGAAUAUGGGGGGACCAUCCUCCAAGGCUAAAUACUCCUGACUGACCGAUAGUGAACCAGUACCGUGAGGGAAAGGCGAAAAGAACCCCGGCGAGGGGAGUGAAAAAGAACCUGAAACCGUGUACGUACAAGCAGUGGGAGCCUCUUUAUGGGGUGACUGCGUACCUUUUGUAUAAUGGGUCAGCGACUUAUAUUCUGUAGCAAGGUUAACCGUAUAGGGGAGCCGAAGGGAAACCGAGUCUUAACUGGGCGUUAAGUUGCAGGGUAUAGACCCGAAACCCGGUGAUCUAGCCAUGGGCAGGUUGAAGGUUGGGUAACACUAACUGGAGGACCGAACCGACUAAUGUUGAAAAAUUAGCGGAUGACCUGUGGCUGGGGGUGAAAGGCCAAUCAAACCGGGAGAUAGCUGGUUCUCCCCGAAAGCUAUUUAGGUAGCGCCUCGUGAACUCAUCUUCGGGGGUAGAGCACUGUUUCGGCUAGGGGGCCAUCCCGGCUUACCAACCCGAUGCAAACUACGAAUACCGAAGAAUGUUAUCACGGGAGACACACGGCGGGUGCUAACGUCCGUCGUGAAGAGGGAAACAAACCAAGACCGCCAGCUAAGGUCCCAAAGUAAUGGUUAAGUGGGAAACGAUGUGGGAAGGCACAGACAGCCAGGAUGUUGGCUUAGAAGCAGCCAUCAUUUAAAGAAAGCGUAAUAGCUCACUGGUCGAGUCGGCCUGCGCGGAAGAUGUAACGGGGCUAAACCAUGCACCGAAGCUGCGGCAGCGACACUAUGUGUUGUUGGGUAGGGGAGCGUUCUGUAAGCCGUUGAAGGUGUGCUGUGAGGCAUGCUGGAGGUAUCAGAAGUGCGAAUGCUGACAUAAGUAACGAUAAAGCGGGUGAAAAGCCCGCUCGCCGGAAGACCAAGGGUUCCUGUCCAACGUUAAUCGGGGCAGGGUGAGUCGACCCCUAAGGCGAGGCCGAAAGGCGUAGUCGAUGGGAAACAGGUUAAUAUUCCUGUACUUGGUGUUACUGCGAAGGGGGGACGGAGAAGGCUAUGUCAGCCGGGCGACGGUUGUCCCGGUUUAAGCAUGUAGGCGGAGGUUCCAGGUAAAUCCGGUACCUUAUUAACGCUGAGGUGUGAUGACGAGGCACUACGGUGCUGAAGUGAUAAAUGCCCUGCUUCCAGGAAAAGCCUCUAAGCAUCAGGUAACACGAAAUCGUACCCCAAACCGACACAGGUGGUCAGGUAGAGAAUACCAAGGCGCUUGAGAGAACUCGGGUGAAGGAACUAGGCAAAAUGGUGCCGUAACUUCGGGAGAAGGCACGCUGAUGUGUAGGUGAAGCCCCUGCGGGCGGAGCUGAAAUCAGUCGAAGAUACCAGCUGGCUGCAACUGUUUAUUAAAAACACAGCACUGUGCAAACACGAAAGUGGACGUAUACGGUGUGACGCCUGCCCGGUGCCGGAAGGUUAAUUGAUGGGGUUAGCGGCAACGCGAAGCUCUUGAUCGAAGCCCCGGUAAACGGCGGCCGUAACUAUAACGGUCCUAAGGUAGCGAAAUUCCUUGUCGGGUAAGUUCCGACCUGCACGAAUGGCGUAAUGAUGGCCAGGCUGUCUCCACCCGAGACUCAGUGAAAUUGAACUCGCUGUGAAGAUGCAGUGUACCCGCGGCAAGACGGAAAGACCCCGUGAACCUUUACUAUAGCUUGACACUGAACACUGGUCCUUGAUGUGUAGGAUAGGUGGGAGGCUUUGAAGCGUGGACGCCAGUCUGCGUGGAGCCAACCUUGAAAUACCACCCUUUAAUGGCUGGUGUUCUAACGUAGACCCGUAAUCCGGGUUGCGGACAGUGUCUGGUGGGUAGUUUGACUGGGGCGGUCUCCUCCCAAAGAGUAACGGAGGAGCACGAAGGUUGGCUAAUCCUGGUCGGACAUCAGGAGGUUAGUGCAAUGGCAUAAGCCAGCUUGACUGCGAGCGUGACGGCGCGAGCAGGUGCGAAAGCAGGUCAUAGUGAUCCGGUGGUUCUGAAUGGAAGGGCCAUCGCUCAACGGAUAAAAGGUACUCCGGGGAUAACAGGCUGAUACCGCCCAAGAGUUCAUAUCGACGGCGGUGUUUGGCACCUCGAUGUCGGCUCAUCACAUCCUGGGGCUGAAGUAGGUCCCAAGGGUAUGGCUGUUCGCCAUUUAAAGUGGUACGCGAGCUGGGUUUAGAACGUCGUGAGACAGUUCGGUCCCUAUCUGCCGUGGGCGCUGGAGAAUUGAGGGGGGCUGCUCCUAGUACGAGAGGACCGGAGUGGACGCAUCACGGGUUCGGGUUGUCAUGCCAAUGGCACUGCCCGGUAGCUAAAUGCGGAAGAGAUAAGUGCUGAAAGCAUCUAAGCACGAAACUUGCCCCGAGAUGAGUUCUCCCUGAGAC